GACGAACGCUGGCGGCGUGCUUAACACAUGCAAGUCGAACGCUGAAGCUUGGUGUUUGCACUGGGUGGGUGAGUGGCGAACGGGUGAGUAAUACGUGAGUAACCUGUCCUUGUCUCUGGGAUAAGCCUGGGAAACUGGGUCUCAUACUGGAUAUGACAUGCCACUGCAUGGUGGUGUGUGGAAAGGGUUUUACUGGUUUUGGAUGGGCUCACGGCCUAUCAGCUUGUUGGUGGGGUAAUGGCCUACCAAGGCGACGACGGGUAGCCGGCCUGAGAGGGUGACCGGCCACACUGGGAAUGGGACACGGGCCAGACUCCUAAGGGGGGCAACAGGGGGGAAUAUUGCACAAUGGGCGGAAGCCUGAUGCAGCGACGCCGCGUGAGGGAUGACGGCCUUCGGGUUGUAAACCUCUUUCAGCACGGAAGAAGCGAGAGUGACGGUACGUGCAGAAGAAGCACCGGCUAACUACGUG
rnacentral:rRNA from 1 species